AACUAACGCUGGCGGCGUGCCUAACACAUGCAAGUCGUACGAGAAAGUUGGCUUCGGCCGAUGAGUACAGUGGCGCACGGGUGAGUAACGCGUGGAUAAUCUGCCCUUAAGUGUGGAAUAACGUACCGAAAGGUGCGCUAAUACCGCAUAAUGCCUGGCAACAUAAGUUGUCCGGCCAAAGAAGGCCUCUGCUUGCAAGCUUUCGCUAAGGGAUGAGUCCGCGUACCAUUAGCUAGUUGGUGGGGUAACGGCCUACCAAGGCGACGAUGGUUAGCUGGUCUGAGAGGAUGAUCAGCCACACUGGAACUGAGACACGGUCCAGACUCCUACGGGAGGCAGCAGUGAGGAAUAUUGCGCAAUGGGGGCAACCCUGACGCAGCAACGCCGCGUGAGUGAGGAAGGUUUUCGGACUGUAAAGCUCUGUCGAGCGGGAAGAAGUGUACCAUGGCUAAUAUCCAUGAUAUUUGACGGUACCGCUAGAGG
rnacentral:rRNA from 1 species